rnacentral:rRNA from 1 species
CCUACGGGGGGCAGCAGUGAGGAAUAUUGGUCAAUGGACGAGAGUCUGAACCAGCCAAGUAGCGUGAAGGAUGACUGCCCUAUGGGUUGUAAACUUCUUUUAUAUGGGAAUAAAAUGUUCCACGUGUGGGCUUUUGUAUGUACCAUAUGAAUAAGGAUCGGCUAACUCCGUGCCAGCAGCCGCGGUAAUACGGAGGAUCCGAGCGUUAUCCGGAUUUAUUGGGUUUAAAGGGAGCGUAGGUGGAUUGUUAAGUCAGUUGUGAAAGUUUGCGGCUCAACCGUAAAAUUGCAGUUGAAACUGGCAGUCUUGAGUACAGUAGAGGUGGGCGGAAUUCGUGGUGUAGCGGUGAAAUGCUUAGAUAUCACGAAGAACUCCGAUUGCGAAGGCAGCUCACUGGACUGCAACUGACACUGAUGCUCGAAAGUGUGGGUAUCAAACAGGAUUAGAUACCCUUGUAAUC